rnacentral:rRNA from 1 species
GUGCACCAGGCGAGAAAACUUUACAAUGUGCGAAAGCACGAUAAGGGAACUCUGAGUGCCUCCUAAGGAGGCUGUUCAGGUGUCUAAAAAGCACCUGAAGGAAGGGCUAGGUAAGACCGGUGCCAGCCGCCGCGGUAACACCGGCAGCCCAAGUGGUAGCCACGUUUAUUGGGUCUAAAGCGUCCGUAGCCGGCUGGGUAAGUUCCUUGGGAAAUUUGGCUGCUUAACAGUCAAGCUUUCAGGGAAUACUGCCCGGCUUGGGA